CCAAUAGCGUAUAUUAAAGUUGUUGCAGUUAAAAAGCUCGUAGUUGAAUUUCGGAAUUUUUUUAUCGGUUGAAUCAACAGGUUCGUACUGAUUUUAAGAAUUUCUACCUUCUGGAGAACCUUAAUGUCAUUUAUUUGGUGUUUUGGGGAACCAGGACUGUUACCUUGAAAAAAUUAGAGUGUUUAAAGCAGGCUUAUGUCUUAAUAUAUUAGCAUGGAAUAAUGAAAUAGGACGGCAAGGUUCUAUUUUGUUGGUUUCUAGGAUCACCGUAAUGAGUAAUAGGGAUAGUUGGGGGAAUUAGUAUUCAAUUGUCAGAGGUGAAAUUCUUGGAUUUAUUGAAGACUAACUUCUGCGAAAGCAUUUGCCAAGGAUGUUUUCAUUAAUCAAGAACGAAAGUUAGGGGAUCGAAGACGAUCAGAUACCGUCGUAGUCUUAACCAUAAACUAUGCCGACUAGGAAUCGGACGAAGUUAAUUUUUUAAUGACUCGUUCGGCGCCUUACG
rnacentral:misc_RNA from 1 species